rnacentral:rRNA from 1 species
CAGCAUAUCAUAAGCGGAGGAAAAGAACCAACAGGGAUUGCCCUAGUAACGGCGAGUGAAGCGGCAACAGCUCAAAUUUGAAAUCUGGCUUCGGCCCGAGUUGUAAUUUGCAGAGGAUGUUUAUGGUGCGGUACCUUCCGAGUUCCCUGGAACGGGACGCCACAGAGGGUGAGAGCCCCGUCUGGUUGGAUACCAAACCUGUGUUAAACUCCUUCAACGAGUCGAGUAGUUUGGGAAUGCUGCUCUAAAUGGGAGGUAAAUCUCUUCUAAAGCUAAAUACUGGCCAGAGACCGAUAGCGCACAAGUAGAGUGAUCGAAAGAUGAAAAGCACCUUGAAAAGGGGGUUAAACAGUACGUGAAAUUGUUGAAAGGGAAGCGUUUAUGACCAGACUUGUGUCGUGUGGCUCAUCCGAGGUUCUCCCCGGUGCACUCCACGCGGCUCAGGCCAACAUCGGUUCUUGUUGGGGGAUAAGAACAGUAGGAACGUAGCUCUCCUUCGGGGGAGUGUUAUAGCCUACUGUACGAUACUCUGACGGGGACCGAGGACCGCGCUUCGGCUAGGAUGUUGGCGUAAUGGUCAUUAGCGACCCGUCUUGAAACACGGACCAAGGAGUCGUCCAUUAGAGCGAGCGUUUGGGUGUAAAACCCGCACGCGUAAUGAAAGUGAAAUUAGGUGAGAGCUUCGGCGCAUCAUCGACCGAUCCUGAAGUUUACGGAUGGAUUUGAGUAAGAGUUUUAACGGACGGACCCGAAAGACAGUGAACUAUGCUUGAAUAGGGUGAAGCCAGAGGAAACUCUGGUGGAGGCUCGCAGCGGUUCUGACGUGCAAAUCGAUCGUCAAAUUUGANCNUGGGGGCGAAAGACUAUCGAACUGUCUAGUAGCUGGUUACC